GAUGCUAUUACCGGAUAACAACAGAUGAUGCCUAUCAACUGUUUAAAAGAUGGUUCUGCUAUCACUCUUGGAUGGACCUGCGGUGCAUUAGCUAGUUGGUAGGGUAACGGCCUACCAAGGCGAUGAUGCAUAGCCGAGUUGAGAGACUGAUCGGCCACAUUGGGACUGAGACACGGCCCAAACUCCUACGGGAGGCAGCAGAU
rnacentral:rRNA from 1 species